GAUGCUGGCACCAACUUUGAACCAUAACAAAUGCAAUCUGCAUUAAAUCGAGGAGGCCAGUUGCAGGUUGAAAUGAGGACUGGUUCUGCAGCUCUGAAGAUGAAAUAAACAAGUCACUUCAGAUAUCAUUUAUCAUUAAGACAGGAAGCAGUUCCACAAAGUCAUUUUAACCAGAAAUGUCAAGGACUAAACUUGGGACUCUACACAUACAAGAAAUGUCAUUGAGUGAUGGUCCUACUCAAAGAUGAUCAAGGGUCUGGAAAUCAAGCCUUAGGAGGAACGGCUGAAGGAGCUUGGUAUGUUUAGCCUGGAAAAGAGGAGACUGAGAUAGCCAUCUUCAAAUAUAUCAAGGGCUGUCACAUGGAAGAUGCAGCAAGCUUGUUUUCUCUUGCCCCAGAGAGUAUGACUCGAUCCAGCAGAUUCAAGUUACAAGAAAGGAGAUUCCAGCUAAACAUCAAGAAGAACUUUCUGAGGGGAGGAGCUGUUUGACAGUCGAAAAAACUGCCUAGAGUGGCAGUUCUUGGUGGUGGACUCUCCUUCCUUGCAGGUUUUUAAGCAUAGGUUGGAUGGUCAUCUGUUAUGAAUGCUUUAGUUGAGAUUCCCACAUUGCAGGGUUUGGACUUGAUGACCCUUGGGGUCCCUUCCAACUCUACAAUUCUGUGAUUCUACUCUUUAAAUUUAGGCUAUUCUUAUUAAUAACCUGUAUUCAUAAACUAAGUGUUUGUGUAAAUAUAAGCUAUCCUCCUCAGUUUUAAUACCAGUUAUAUGUUUUCUUCUUUGACACUGAUAGCAAAGCAAAAACAUCUACAGUCAAAUUUCAGAAUGCAGAUAAAAAUUAAAAGUUGCCUUUAAAAUGUAA